rnacentral:rRNA from 1 species
UACGAAGGGGGCUAGCGUUGCUCGGAAUUACUGGGCGUAAAGCGCACGUAGGCGGCUUUCUAAGUCGGGGGUGAAAUCCUGGAGCUCAACUCCAGAACUGCCUUUGAUACUGAGAGCUUGAGUCCGGGAGAGGUGAGUGGAACUGCGAGUGUAGAGGUGAAAUUCGUAGAUAUUCGCAAGAACACCAGUGGCGAAGGCGGCUCACUGGCCCGGUACUGACGCUGAGGUGCGAAAGCGUGGGGAGCAAACAGG